rnacentral:lncRNA from 1 species
AAAGAAAGGGGAGGUUGCUGGCACAGGGAGGGCUCCAAGUGAGCCAAAAUCACAAGCUGCAAUUGCAGUGAGUCAAUGAGACAUUCCAGAUCAGGAGGUGGGAAGGUAUUUGUACCACACGGCACUUGUUUUAACAGUGAAAAACCCAGAGGUGCUCGCAGGAGGGGGUUUAUCCUCUUGCCAUGUUCUUGCUAGGUUGCAUUUUCUUGGGCUGAGCAGCAAAAUCAGUCAGAAAAGGACCUUGUGUAAAGCUGAGUCCCUCCAGGUUGAGACUGGGGAAAAAGGGAGUGGAUGUCAAUUCACUUUAUGGAAGGAGGGAGAAAUCAAACCGGUUUAUGUUUAUUCUAUGCCAAGUAUUAGUUUUAUUUUAAACCCAUUACAAAUAUAACUAGAGAGGGCUUUUAAGGCUGGAUAUGUGUGUGGGACACGAGGAAAGUCUCUUUGGGUUGCUGGCUUGCAAGGGAAGAAGCUUCACAAAGGAAUAAGUCAUAAAAAGCCCAGUCCAUUUUCUGCUGUCUUUCACCUGUGGGACUCGAAGCAUGUUCCCAGUAGUAACGAGGUCUCAGACACCCAUCACCCUCAGUUUGCAGGGAGGGAAACAACCUUGUUGGUUGGAAAGUGUCAGAGCCAUGGUAGCAAACCUGCAGCAGAGCAGGGAGGGCAGCCAGAGGCACUCAACCUUUUGCCUCCCUGCUUAGCAGACCUGAAGUGGAAAAAUGUUUUUAAUGAGCUAGUAAUGAGUCCCUCUCCACAACAUGCUUAAAGAUACCCACAGAGCCACCUGCUUUCCCAAGAGCUAAAUACCAGAAAGACGAUCCUAAUGGUGGCAGCUGCUUCCCUCAAGAAUAAAAGAGCUUGUGCAAUGAGCAGAUUGCCACUGCUUCCUGAGGAACUAUGCUGAUUUGGGCCAGAAUCAGCCUUUUCUUGUCAGUAGGAGAUGCUGUGGAAGACUGUUCUGAGAGCUGUGAUCCAGUGACACUGUGAUGCCACAUGCUGGGCCCUCAGCAGGGUCUGAAAGCUGCAGCUCAGCUCUGUGGGCUCUACUGAUUGUGCUUUGAGAGCGGUUUUAGUGCUGGCUGAGCAUCCCUGCCUGUCACAAAGAGCUGCAAUUGGCCUCCACACAGGCCAGGCAAAGUGUGGGCUUGCUGAUGGUUCUGAUGCCUCCCACCGAGCCACGUGGCAGCCCUGGGAGCUGCAGGGCAGCAAUUCACACCUUGCACAGGAAGCUCUGCAGACUGUGUAGGGCAGGAGGCUGAGGAUGGCUCCAUGCAGCUGAUGCUGGGCACAAUGCACAUGGCAGCUGGGCUGCAAGGAGAGAAGGUUUGGAGAUUCAGUUCAGUCUGUGCUAUCACCCGCUGCCUGCUUUGCACUGCUGGCACUGCUGGGGCAGGCUGGGCAGGGAGGUGAGCUCUCUGCCAAGAGAAAUCCAGGGGAAUCCUGUCGGUGAGCACAGCUGGCCAAGGAAUCAUCUCCUGAGUGCAGGUUACCAUCACUGCUUGUGCCAGCACUCACAGGCUGUGUUAGUGCAGAGCUCACACUGGUGCUGGUUGUGGGUGCUUGACAGUCACUGUCAGCCCCAUCCUCCUCUUGCACACUGUUAUCCUCUUCCCAAGUCUCGCUGCCUGCUGCCCGCUGUGACUUCUUGGCUAGAGGGGAGAAAAGAUUGGUGCUGCCCUUCUCCUCCUGCCGACACUCCUUGGUUUUAAUGCCCACAGCUUUUAGAAUCGUGUCCAUUUGCUUCAUGUAGUCCAGGUGGCCGCUGACCUACAAGCAACAGGAGGAGUGCAGUUAGUGGGGAAGCUACAGGGAACCCAACUCAGUCCAGUCCUCCAUCCCAAAAGGCACCACUGCCAUGAGAUUUGGCUUCAGCUCCAACAGGCUGAAAGGGAUAGGUCUGAAGAAUAUGGUAUUCUCUGGAAAUAACCCUACAUGGCUGUGCACCUGGAUUGCUUUACCCCUGAGGAAUGCACGUUUAAGUGCAGAGUGACAAGACUAGACUCUGAGUGCCAUAAGGGUAAAGGAGGAGGUGAUUUGCCCUGGUGACAGACUCCCAGGUAGGAGACUCCUUGACUCAGUUCAACUCCCUGUUCUCUGGUAAAUCACACACCCUCCCUGUGCCUCAGAUUCCUUGUAAAAGCAAACAUUUAUAUUGAGAUAAAGUAAUUGGUGCAAUAACUGCUGAGUGUGUUGGCUGGAGGAGGAGGUAGUAUUUAAAUGUGCAUUGAUCUGUCCCAUAUAAAACUGGGAGUCCACAAGGUUUUAAGUUCAUAAACCAAAUUAAAACCAGCAGUAUGUUGUUGCAAAUAACAACAUUUAUCUGUAGGGUGAUUUCCACGAUAAGAUAAACCCUUCUGAUACAGAUGUUAGGAAUGUGUCCUUCAUGUCAGGACACAGGAGGGAAAGAAAAUCUCCUCUGCAGUGAUAAUUAUUGUUAUGUGUUAGAGGCUACCUGGCUGGAAAGGCAGAAUCUGCCCUUUUUGAUUCAGGUGUCCCAUUCAAGCCCCAUGUUAGAGGUAACUACAGCCAAGACCCUCCUACAGACCAGUCUUCAGAUCUACAAGGCUGGAAGCACAGUGCAGAACACAGAGCUCCUACCCAAGUGCGUGAAGCAGCCUCUGAGUGGUAACAUUUGGAGGCACUUAGGACUUGGAGCAAAAUGAAGGAUUUAAUCAGCACGUUAGUAAUGCAAUACGCGACUUUAAUCAGUCCAGAUGGCUCAACAGACUCUUGAGGUUUUGAACAGAUUAGUUAAUUAAAAUAACCAUCGAGGGUCUCAUGGACUGGUUGUUAAGAUGCUCUCCCCAAAAGUACAAAUCUUUUACUGCCCCACAGCGGAGCCUGGUGCUAAAGAAGGAAACAAGCACAGCGUUGGACAAGGUGGAGAGGAAUAAGAAUGCAACAGACUGUCUGGGAAGGGCUGCUGGUUCUCUUGGUUUGCUGUGUUCUGAAACCCCUGUGGCCAUUACAAUCAACCUGAGCUAGUCAGUGCUUGGGGUAGAAGUGGCACUGAGUGACAUGACAUAAAGCGGUCAUAGGCAUGUGCUGAGGGCUGAUCUAGAUGAUCUUUGUGGUUGGAAUCUUACUGAACCAUCACCAGCAGAACAGCAAGCAAAAUUCCUUGCUAUUUCCAAGCAAUGAAGGCACCCUAGUGGGAAAAUUCAGCAAUUCCAAUUCUCAAAAGCCUGAUUCCAUGUGCUGUCCAAAGAGCUGAAUGCUUCUGCUGGGUGUGCUGGGAACUUCUACAUUGCAACGGACAAUAAAAUCUUUAAAGAGAAACAAACAAUUGCUUGAUUCUUUGUCAGAACAAAGUGCAGGAGGAACAUCAAAACAAAAGGAAUGGAAAAGUGCUCUUGUAACCAAAGCAAACAAAUUUAUGCUUGUUAUAAGGAAAUGAAAACAGUGGGUUAUGUUUACCACUGUGCUAAGGUGACUUCUCCCCUCUUGUAACUGAUGUUGCUUUGACUCAUUGGAAGACACAACCCAAAUAUUUAUACCACCAAUUUGGUAUAAUUGGAUUAUAGACUGUAACAGUAUUCAUGUGGAUCUAUCAGUCAGCUGGAAGGAGCCAUCACUUCAGAAAGCAAUGGAAAGAUUUCCAAUUUAACAUCAAGAGUUUCCUCGUUUCGGCAUCAUCAGUGAACGAUUUACAGGAUUUCCUUCUGACAAAUGCAGUUUUAAGGGAAGAAAUUCAAAUGACUCUAUUUCUUCUUCCCAAAAAUCCUCAGUCAUGCAUACUGCCUCAAAACCCAUGCAGCCUUCUGCUUCCAUAUGGUGGCAAGGACUGACUGAUGGCAGGGCUCCCAAGCUAUGCCGGCUAUCAAUCAAAAUGCAGGCACCUUUGCCAAGCUGGCAGACUUGGAGUUUCUCCCACUUGUCAGAGUGCUGGGUGUACCCUUCUUGACAGAGGACAGGUUUUGCCAAAAUUUCCUGUUUUCCCCAGUGUUUUCUGGAAGCUUGUGGCAAAGACCUAGCAACCUCACACUGCUCAGCCAGAGGAAUGGUGCUGGAGUUGGAGUGCAUGCAAAAGCCAGUGGAAGAGUGGAUUCCCAUCAUGAUGACCAUCAGAACAUCAAGCAAACCUUGAGAGAGGCUGUGACUGGGUUGAGUUACCGCAGAAACAAAAUUCUCCAGUAUUCAUUCUUUGGAAAAAUUGUUCUCCUGAAGUGAGGACAGUGAACAUGACCAGUAAUUCAGAAGCUGGAAUUUAAAUGGAUUAAUAAAAAAUGUAGAUUUGACAUCUGCAACACGUUAUAUUUGUGGAAAACUUUGUGGAGCUGAAGUUAUUUUGAAAAGACUCUCAAUGUCUCUUGCAUUAUUCCUCUUUAAUGUUUCUAUUCCUGCUCUGAAUAACUGAUGGAAUAAGGAUUAGAGCAUGAUUCAGCCAGAGGUAAUAGGCUUCUAAGCCAUCCCUUUGCACAAUUGCAAUUCUUGUGAAUUGAAUAAUUCACCGACUCGACUGGUAAAAGUUCUGCUUUAAUUUCAGUGACACUUGUUGAGCAAGACAGUAAUUUUUACAUGCAAUCAUCUUUCAGCCACAACUCACUGAUCAAAUCAUUCUCACCGCUGUAACUGUGUGCUCAAGCCAGUUUCACACCAAGGCAGUAACUUUUACCCAUGGCUUUUUCCACCAAACUUUUGAUACGUUUUGUGGGAACACAUCGAUGUUAGCAGUUCUGAGUAAGCACUGUUUUUCUGUUUGGAGUUGUGCACUGCUGAGAAAUUCACAUAGCCUUCCUCUCAACCCACCUCUGCCAGCUCCAAGAACACUGUGUGAUGGGGAGCUUUAUCUAUGUGGUGUGUGAACACUCUGAGUCUUUCCAGCCAUACCACUAUCAGUAAACAUGCCACUUACUCUUACAGUGGCUGUAAUCAAAUACUUAUCUGUCUGUGCUAAGUCAAGUAGAAGGUAUUUAAAUUAGACGGUAUAAGGAAAAUCUUAAAGGCCUGGAAUACACCACGCAUAUAAUUAUAGCUGGGAAAUGGUUUGAACAUAAUCUCUUAGACCACAGAGGAAAAGAGAUGCCCCAAAAUAAAGGCUGGAUUAAUGUACUGAAGUGUCUGGAAGACCCAGAAAUCUGACAUCAUAAACUAUAGCAGUCCACCAGCAAUCCAACACUGAUCAAGUCAGGAUGAUGGAGAAGUUUUAGAAGAGCUGUUUCUGCAAAUGAGGACUCAGAGAUGAGAUUAACUCUCUAUAUCCAGAUGGUAAAACAGUGUCUGCCUGCAGCAGGGGAAGAGUCCUCCUCUGUGACUCUGACAAUGACCCAUCACCCUUAUUCUCUCCUUCUUCCUUCAGGAAUACAUAAGAUAUGGCAGCCAAACAUUACCAAAACAGACCAGAUUUUCAGCUCCAUGGAAUGAGAGUAGCUUUUACCAGCUGAGCCCUGGGUUGCAGAGCACGCUUCAGCAUUCUCUGAAGGGCAUCCGCAGCUCAUCCUCUUCCCUACUUACCUGCCUGUAACAGAGAUAACAUCUCUUACCAAAUCUCAGACCGGGAAAUCAAAUCAUGACUUAUGCUCAAUGGUACUAGAAAUAAGCAUGGACCUGGCUAGUUCCAAUGAGUUGGAAUGAAUUCUUGUUGCACCAUUCACUAAACGACUUUUCCUGUAGCUCCUGUCCUGUGCCUCAUCUCAGACUGCUCAAAAAGACUCAUCAUUUAUGAGACUGGUGCUGAUCCCAAGCACUUAUGCUGGGGCAAUGGCUCACAUCUCCCUCUGUUCCCAUUUUAUUGAUGGAAAUGACUGUACGUACUGAAUGGAGGAAAUGAUAUGGUGGCUGCAGAGUGAUAAUAGCUUUCAAGAUAACGCCUGGGUUAUGAGGGCAUAACUCUCCUCCUUACAUCAACACCCACUUCUGCACUGCCAGAAAUCAAACUGCCCUCUCUCUUUUAAUGGGUCAUCAUUCAGUGAGAGCUGUGCUACUUCAGUGUCAUCCUCCCAGUGCAGAUUACAGCCUCUUGUCCUUACUGUUUCCUAUGCCAGACUGAAACUUUGGAUGGGUGGCUUCAAGACAUGGGUUCAACAACCAGCAGGAAGCUAAAUUCUCCUAAAUUCACCUGACUGUGCUUUGUGUAGCCACUCUUCCAGAAUCAAUCAAGAUUAAGCAGUACAUCUGUAAUGGAGCAAGGAGGGACACCAUCCUUCAUCUGCCACAAAGGGAAAAUGAACUGCAAGUUAUUAAUGGCUCCAUGUGCACUUUUUUGGAGAAAGCCUUUCAGUUCCUUCCUCUGUUUCAAUACAUUAACAUUAUCGGUGCCCACUGCUUGAAUUCUAAAUACAUAUAUUUAACAUGUAUUUAAUAUAUGAUUUGAUUGUCAGAGCUCCCAAAUGUGUUCAGCAGCAAGAGGCACGACUGAAAACCAGGCCCUGACAAAUUCAGGAUUGCAGGGACACAUGAAGUGGAAGAAAUCAUCUCUGUGAGCUUUUAUAUCUCAGUGCACUUCAAAUAAUAGAGGAACAUACCCCUUACAGCUUAGCAAACAAGUAGACUUGUCUCCACAAAGACUUGCACACUCCUCUGGGAAGAAAUCAUCAUCAACCUUGGCCACCAAAGAACUGUUCCAGCACCACCACCAACAGCACUUCCCUUCUGCUAGCUGACAAAGGGAUGAGAAGAAAAGAAACACAUCUUUGGGAUGCUGAACAGGUUGAGAAAAAAACUUGUGCGACUAAAGAGGAGACACUAAGGAAUUCUCUCAGGGGAGACCAGUUCCCCGUAACACCGUGAAGAGGACUGGAUUUGUCUGCCUUCCUGUAUGUGAUGUGAGAGAAUGCUCUCCAGGAGCCACUGUCUGAAGCCAAGUUCUGCACCUCGCUGUUGCUCUUCUCAUCCUCUUCAUUCCUGUUACCAUGGGAGGUGGCACUGCUCAUUUGAAACAAGUGGAACAAGGGUGUAACGGGACAUGGGCAACCUUUUGCAUUUCCAACUCCCCUGUGUUCUUAAUUAAUCCACAUUUUGUAGACACAAUUAGUUCUUUGCUUCAAGUCUUGGGAGUACUAGAAAUUAAAAAAACCAUCAGUUUAAAGUAUUCUGGGGGAAACACCUAAAUCACAGAAGUGCCAAAUCAACUGGAUUUUGCAAAAUUCAGACUUGUCAUCUGCUUCUGGUAUUUCUGUACCUGGCUGGCUGAAGGCCAGACUGUUUGGAGUCUGUUUGCAUUCCCUCCUAAAGGGAACACUAAGCUCCUCUUCUGAGAGUGCUUUUGGAAGAGAGAUCAGUUAUUCCUGUUUUUCAUUUGCUGUCACAAAGACAACUUCCCCUGCGCUCAGUUCCCACAGCAAAGAAUGGGUAGAAAGCUUUUGAGACGGCUCACAGGGAAGAAGCAAAGGUGUGCCAAGGUGAGAUACAGACUAUUCUAAAAAUGGGCUCUGCUGUUUUGCCUUCUGUCAUGCAGACAUGCUGCAAGAGAACAUGGCUGUGUGCACGUUUUGCUGCUACGUACUGUUACAGCAACUGCUCUAGAGAUAAAAAAAGUACUUAUGUCUGUGAGCUAUACAAAACACAGCUCCAUCCGGCCGUGUGCUUGAGCAAGGAGGGGUUUAAUCUCAGGUGGCGUUUCUAUGUGUUCCCUUUAUAGGAAUUUAUGAGCUCCAGCAUGAUUUGAGCAGUUGCCAUUCAGACACCAUGUCAAUGAAAAGAACAAAAAGGAGAAUUUAGCUGCCAACAUGCUAUCUAGCAGACUUGCAGCCAUGCAUUCCUAUUGCCCCAAGCUUGAGAGUUCAUCCCUGGUUUCUGCUGCAGUAGAACUGCAGAAGAACAGAUGCACCCAUUCCUGACUUGUGAGCUUCUGCAAAAAUGCUCUGCCUGCAUUCUGACUCUGAGCAGUGCUGCAGUAUUCAAAUGUUAAUGCAAAAUGUAAUCUACAAUAUCCCACUUGUAACAAACAGCAAUCAAUCUAAUACAUUACAGCUCAAUUACUUCCUUGGUGUCUCUAACAGGUGCUGUCAAAUAAAUCCACUGAACAAAUCAGUCCCAUUGUAACCACUAGGAAGGCUUUUAUAACUGCAUUUGCUGAGUGGGAGAACAUUCUUCCUUCAUUUUUUUUACUGACAGUCAGAAAAAAAAAACAAAAAAACCCACAUACUAGUCAAGAGAGACAUGCCAGAAAUGCCUCACAGGUGAACUUGUGUUCAGAGUGAGGUCUCCUAGUCUACCACCCAUUUGAAGACUGUGAUGCAAAGAGAACCAAGCCCUUUAGGCCCAGACUAUUAUUCAUCCUGGAUGGACUGUGAGAUGAUAAAAUACUGAAGCUGUCCGUACAAUACUUGCACACUCAGCACCCCUGCAUCACCCAAGCUUUAUUUCUCUAUCACUGCUCAGCAGUCCCCAUCCCUGGCUAAGUUUCAGCGGGACCUGAAGGACAUCACUGUUGCAGCUGUCCUUGCUGAAGGUCCCUCAGCAGAUGGGUAGCUGUGCAGCCACAAUUUGCAGGUGUUUCCAGGUCCUUUGCAGAGACCCAGGGUGGUCUGUGAGGGUUGAGGGCAGAAACAGAAAUGAAGGCAUGACAGAUAAGCUCAUCCCAGUGCCUGCUCAUCAUGCUGAAAAGCAGGCAAUUAAUGAUCAUCAUUAUUGUUCCUCAAAAGCAGUGAGAGCUUAAUUGAAAAGCACUCCUGUUUUUUAGAUGCUUAAUUUCCACUGAAGCUGAGAAUGAACUGUAUUUUUCUGGUGAUCUCAGGAUGCAUUGGAGACCCCUGCAAUCCCAGCAAGCCAAACUCUUCCAAGUACAGCCAGGCACCCUCACUGAAAGCGCUGCGUCAAGCUGUCUCCUCAUUAGCAGCCCUAUCUCUGUGGGCUGUGAAUGUGCCCAUUUCUCAAUCAUUCUAUUUAUUCUUAAUGUUUUGAGAGCCAAAGCUCAAAGAGGAAAGCUCAUACAGAGAAGCAGCAAAGCAAUAGUCUCCACUGAAUUACCCCACAGCAGAAGGCACUCACCAUGGAACACUUCUCAAGCAACACUACCUACAAACAGUGGAGUCUCUGCAUCACUUCAGGACCUUUUUCAAAUCAGAUGUGUGUUGUGGGUUAUGAAUCUGUCUGCAUAAGCCAUUUAAAUGAAAGGAAACUCCAAAUAUUUUUUGGAAUUAGGAAAAAAAAAAAGAAAUAACUUUUACUGAGAAGCUGAAUCUUACAGAGGCCUCUUAGUCCUCCUUUAUUUGAGCCAUCACGCUACAUUUCUCUGAGAUGUGCACCAGAGUGACAAGCUCUCUGCAAGGCAGAUACCUGAUUUACAUGUAUAAACAAGAAUAUGCAUUGCUAUGGGUGUACAGUGCCUCCCUCUCCCAUUUUCUGUAUUUCUGUAGAAAAAUCAGGAGGAUGCUCUGCUAGGCAGGAUACUGGGCUUGAUGGAUGUUAGUCUGAACUACUGUAGAUGUUUUGUUUCCUCUACCAGAAAGACAAUUUUUUUUUUUUUUUAGUAAAGGAGCUUUCUUGUAUUCUGCAAUUUAUAGAAAACAUCUCUCUGUAUUUCUCUUAUGCAACUGCACUAUAUUUGCAGCAAGAUCCAUCCUUGCUUACUUGUCACUUCUUACACAGAGCCUCUGAAUAUUUCCUUCCCCUUCUUGCUCUCUCUUUUUACUUUUAAAAUGUUCACCAGAACACACUGUGUUUCUUUUCGUAAAGCUCCAUGCUCUGGAAAAUGGAUCAAGAGAAUGACACCUACUUAAUACAGGUUUUCCCUGCUGUGGGAAUUGCUCUUUUUUUCCCCCAGUGCUUUGCAGUAAGAUUAAAUAAGUGAAAGUGUCAGCUCUUUCUGAAAUGAGAACAGUGCUGGGAUUGUCUGCUGGCAUCAGGCAGCACGGACACAGAUGCACAACAGCAGAAGAUCAGCAGAUAGCAGCUCUGCAGCCAUGAUUCAUUUAGCUGAAUAGUAAAUGGUUCCUUUGGGGAAGAAUGGAGAGGCUGCGGGCAGGGUCAGGACUGCAGGACUCCAGGGGGUCUGAGGGUCAGGAAGCAAAAGGUCAACAGAAAGAGGCUCUGAAAAGAACUCAAAGAGAGGAGAGCAACCUGGACUAGCCUCACAGGAAAUGUCACCCCAGUGUCAUCACUGUAUGGCUUCUUCAGCCAUUUUUCUUUUAAUGCCACCAACAGAUGCUUGCAAGCAACUGAUGACAAUCCCAGGGAUAGUGAAAAAAUGAAUGUGGGAGCAUGUGGAAGUGCUAACCAAGGCAACCCAGGAAAGUGCAAAGAUACCAGAACAGCUACAGUGCUGGACCAUGUUAAAAAGCCUCUAUCAUACCACUUCCUUCUGGGAGGCCUACAUUUUGGUCUGCAAAGUUCUUAUUUUAUCUGUAUGGCAUUAAGUUCUGUGUUUUCUGGCAAGGGCUCACAGCUCAGUUAUAAUGAAUGAAACGAGCUGGUAACAGUUGGGUAUUUAUAGGCUCAGCAGGCUGGUGCUCCAAAAAAUCUGAAAGAAUUUAAAAGUGCCUUUGGCUCCAGAGCAACACUGACAGUGCUACCAGCUUGUGGGGACAGGCAGGAGGGGUCACAGCAGGAAGAAUGACAAUGGAUGUGCCCUGAGCUUUGUGCUGAGCAUCUUCCAGUCCAGUCUGCAGAGUAAAAGAUGAGCUGAAUCAUUAAGAUAUGGGAAAACAAGAUUGCAUGCCCAAGAUUCCACUGAUUAUGAACACAGAAGCUAAGUUCCGCUUGAUCUGUUCUGUAAGAGUUCACUCAUGAGUAAUGAUGAGGCACUGAGAUCAUUAGUUUGCUUACGAUAAUCAAGUUGAAUACUGCUAAUCAUUAAUGACAGUUUGGAGGCAGCUAAGUGUCUACCACGCACACAGGUGGAACAGGUGAAGCAACACUUCCUGCUUCCUGAAAACAGGUAUUCCAAAACACAGCAGCCUCGCAGCCUAGCAAACCAGCCACUGCUACCACAGAGCUGUCAGUGCAAGCUGCCUCCUGCACCAGGGUCAUUGUGGCCUAGGACCAAGGUACAAGGGCUGUGCAGUUGUCCCCACCUAAACUGGCACCGCACUGGAGGAGUCACCCAGAUAAGGCUGUAGGCUGCACCUGCUCUGCUGCCACGCAUUGGAGCUACACGUUCCCCAGCUGCUGACCUACCUUUCCAGCAUCACACUUUCUCCUGAUCGAUGAGUGUGAGGGCAGAUGGGAAAAAUAAGAGUAGUAGUACUUACUACAGAUGAAAGGUCCAUGUUUACCAUCCUCCUGUCGUCCAGCUUGAUUGGCUGGAGGCCAGCAACGUUGAGCUGGACAGAAGAGGUUCUGUAUACAAAUCCCAGCAGCCAGUCCCCCCUAGGAGCAGAGCAAAAGAAGAGUGUGAAUAAAUCCUGUUGCUAAACUUACACAAUAUGUGACUACACAGAGCACAGGGAGAACAGAGGGGCUGGGAAGCACAGUCUAGUCUGGAGCAAUGCCCACUGCAGCUUUGUCAGACACAGGAAUCAGAGUAGUUGCCAAAACCGGGACGGACUCUUGGGAGGUAAGAGUGUGAGUCUUAGUUAAAUCCUGAUUUGGGGAUGCAGUCUCAUUGCACUCAGUGAGUUUAAAAAUCUGACCCUUUCUGUAUUUGCCUGGAGACUGCAACACAUUCACAUUUACCCUUUUUAAUGCACUAAUAGGUUGAAGUUCUCCAGGCUCCAGAGAGCUGUAAAAACGAUGAGGCCAAUGAUACCAAUGCUGCUGAUAUAAACAUCGACUGUGAAGCUCCUCAGUGUGCUCCUGAUUUAUAGGUACUGUAUAAAUAUGUAGUUUCAAUUACAGUACUAGGAAGGGUCUGUUUCCACUGUAAAGCUUUGCUGUAAGUCAUUGUGGCAGUAUCAGGGUAGGCUACAGGAUGAAGAGAGAAGGUGAUGUAUCCUUUGGAAAUACAUCACUUGGUCUGUGCAGAACCCAGGUACCUAAACACCACUACAGUCUGUGGAGCAGACGUGGAUGUAAGGGGUGUGCUGACUCUGGGAAGGCAGCAGAUGAGGCUGCUCCUUUCACUGCAAAAUGCUGUGAGCUAAAAGUUGAGAGUCAAGUCUACACAGAGCUCUGCAAAAUCUUUGCAGCACAUCCACACUGCAUUACAGUCACUUUUUGAUCUGUCACUCCAUGGCUGGCUUUUUUUGACAUGCUCAAUGAGUCUUAACUAAUUUGGUUAAGGUUUUCCACUAGGAAUUUGUAACCUUGCUGUGAAAUCAAGGGGGACAGCCCUGACAGCUGGCUUUCACUCCCUGGCUCCUUUCAGACUUCAAAGCUGGAAGAGAUGAGCUGCAGCGGACUGAAGCUCAACGAAUUGUGUCCAAAUCUGAUCUUGCAGAAGUAUUAUUCAGUGUAAUUCAUGUGAACUAAAUAUAGUUACUUCUGAAGUGACAGAACAAGGACAAAAUUUGUAUGAGCAAGAGACAGAGUGAUGAGAUUCAGGUGGGGCUUUAUCAAGGAAUGCUUGUACAGUCCUUCUCUCAUGCCUAGUGAAACUCCCCUAGCUGCUCCUUGUGCCAACAGAGCAACAUUCAAAUUCAGCAGCUGACAGCAAAGCAGAGAACUAAUGCAGCUGAAUAUUUCCUGACAGUCUGCUCACCUGCUUCUUCCUAUUUGUGGGCAGCACACUACAAUUUCUACACUGUUUUCCAUUCAACACUCAGUGGAUGGGUAGACAAACCAAAUUAUUGCCUACACAAAGAUAUGAACAUACAACGCGCUCCAACAGCAUAUAUAGGCUUUGAAACUGUAACAAAAUGAUUCCUUUUUUAUUACAGCAAAUGGAUACGCUGAGCUUUUAGCACUGAAACAGAUACUUGUUUAACACAUGGAGGAGCAAUAUUUGCCAGGGCAAAUGCAGCUCUGUGCAACAACUGCUGUAAUUUAUGGCUUCUUGGAGGAACACAGAAGCAUUCCCAAGUCCCCAGUCACUAAUUGACAGGAGGCAGCAAUUGCUUUUUCCCUGUGUUAAAUGAAGAAAUAUUUUAACUGGUGUGCACAUCCGGCAUCCAUAAAAAGUCCUAUGAUCCAAAAAAGACAAAAGCAACAUUUUUCAGCCUGACAGAUGGGAUUAAUGAUUUUUUGGGGGGUUAUAAUCUUGAAUGCUCUUAAAUCCUUUUAUUUAGUUCUUCUUUGUAAAUUGAUAUACUAUGUUAGAUGUGCAGUAACACAUUAAUUUCUCAUCUUAUACACAUGUAAUACAUACAUAUGUGCAUAUGGAAAGGACCAACAGCACUUCAGCUGUCCUUGAUCUGAGGGCUUGUGGCUCUGGAGCUGUCUUUACUCAGUUACAUGCUCUUUGCUAAUCUUCUUGCCCAGUUAUUUCUCAAUUUAUUUUCCCAUGCUCUUCCCUGUUUCAUUCCUUUGUUUUAAUUUCCCUCUUCUAAUUGUGCUGGUAAAUGGCGCUCUUGUCACAGUUAUCUUCCAAAACACAGUCAUUAGAUUUGGUACUGUCACUUGAAUUCUUAAUAGCUUUUGCAACGCUGCUUCAGUUGCUUCUGGCCUCUGAAUCUCCCUCUUCUUGCCCAGCAGCUCUCACACCUCUGCACAGCAUUUAUCUUCACAGUUUUAAAGGCUGGUUUUAAGUUUCAAGGUAACCUUCCUGUUCUUCCACAUCAUUAGUAAAUUUGUGACAGCUAUUCCAGUCGGACCCCCCUCUGCAAGUGAAAUUUCUUGUUCACAUGGACCACCUUGACCAGAAACAGUCUAGAUGUAGCAAGAACAGGACCUAUGUAUUUGAGAACCUCUGCCUCCCAGUGUAAGUGUGCAUCACAAACAAGCAAGAACUGAGGACAGAGCAGCCUUGAACUGUCUUCCUGAAGACUGUCAUCUCCAACUAAUCUGAAGGAGAGACCUCUGGAGGGAAGAGACUCAGGCACUGCUCAAUCAGUGGACUCAACAGCUGAACAAACAUGCACUCACAAAACAUUUAUAAGGAAUAGAUGUACAAAAUCAUUUCAAAGUGACAUUACAGUAGUGAAGCGGGGCACUGCGUGCAUACAGACCUGCAAUAACCAUUUAUGAUCCUGCCCGACACCACUUUUGUGAUUGCCUUCCAGUACUUGGCUUCACCCUCCACUGGAGCUCCCAGUAGGACCACAUCUUCAAUGAUCCCUUGGGAGUCUGUUAAGGUGAAAGCAGAACAGCUCAGGUUUAGAAGACAGAUCAGACAGCAUUUGCCAACACAGAGUGAUAAACCAACAAACUGGCUUGAUUUUCUUAAGAGGUACCUCAAUGCACAGGGCACAAUUUGCUGAAUACACAUGCUGACUUAUGUAGUACAAGAGCUGCUCCAAAAGUAAUGCUUCCUAUGUUAUUCUACUGGCCCAUGACAUCAGAGGCAAAUGUUGGGGGUAUGGCAGUAGAGGCUGAACCUUCUACCAACAUCCCAUUACAUUUUGUUACCAUGCAACAGAUGGCAGCAGAGGGGCAGUCUGACAGAGUGGCGUCUGACACGGAACUGUGUACAGAGCUGAAUAGCUCCCUUAAUGCAUUGGAAACAACGGUGGCAAUGUUGGCAUAUUGCAAAGUUUGCACCAGGUGGGUCCCGUGAAUGCUCACAUGGGAAGAGAAAGAACAUCAUACGCAGGUUUGUUAGGACCCACUGAAUCAAUAUGAAACUGAAGGAGAGAGUUUCCUGAAUCGCACAACUAUGGGUGAUGUGAUGCUGAAGAAAAUGCAUAGCUAAUGGUGGUGACAAAUUUAUCUAUAUCAAAUAGUGUUAUCGUGCUCUUUGCAGUUGUUGUAUUUUUCAUGGAGAUAAACAGAAGGCAUUACUUUUGGAGUGACCUACAUAAAUCUUCCUCUCGUAUGUGACAGCUGCAGCUGGGAAAUUUCAGUAGAAAUGACUACAUGAAAAAUAUUGGGCAGCUCUGCAACAGUCCUAAAUUAAAAUUUAAAUAUUAAUGUGCUUUCCCACUCCUGCCAUCUAAAGACAAGAAGAGACAGCCUCAGCCUAGGCGUCAUUCAGAGCUUAUGGAGGACCUUAUUUAGGUCUUUUUCAGUUAGACUUCUGUGCAGAUACAGGCUUGAAAACAGGGAAAGACACUGUUAAACAAUAUAUUAAUAUAUAUUCCUAACUCUUCUUUGUAAGGAGACAUCAAGCACCUGAUGUAGUAGUUAAGUGAAAUUCAGCCCUGCAGUCUCAGGAGCCUCGUGGGCAUGCUGUGCUGAAUCGAUACUCUCCAGCUGAGACCAGCGUUCACAAGACAUGAGCUGAGCUAUUUUCAGGCUGGUGUCUGAAUUCGUAAAAUAAUAUGCUGAAAAUUUCUGGGAAGUGAAGGUAAGAGUGCACCACUUCAAGCUAUGAUGGAGAGGUGGUGCCUGGCUAGGCUUUUUAAGUAGAAAUCAACUGGUUUCUUUUCCUUAAUAGCACUAAAAACUUGGAGCUCCCUGCAGUGCCUGCAUCUUUCUCGACACAGUGUAAAUCCCAGCACCUGACAACAGUCCAAAAGAGCUCUCUUGGUGUUAUUUCUUAUUGCAGAGCAAAUUUUGCACCAAUCAAGAGAACAGCAAAGAGUAAUUCAAUUCUGUUAGUGUAAUCUGUGAGCAAUAAGGUCCUGUGUUUCCACAGUCACGGGCAAUGAAAAGGAAACCCAGCGCCUGUUCAGGGAGCUUGUUCCAACCGAGGUACUAAAUUCCAUGGCCACAAUGUGAGCCAACUGAAUAAACAAACAGCCAGUUCAUCGGGAUCUUGGACAUUUGGGCAAGGUGUUGGAAGCUUUUUUUUUCCUCCAGUCCUUUGCACAGCUUAUUUCUUGCUUAGAAGAAACAAAUGUUCAGCUUUGGCUGAAAAAUACCCAUUUUCUUUCAAUGCUGACAGAAACCUGAGAACGGAUCACUGACCUUUGUGGUUGCUGGAGCUCUAGAUAAAUUAAAUGUAUUUCACAGUUUGCAAAUCUUUUAUACUGAUGGAGAAAAACGAAGUCUGCAUAAAGCAAGAAAAUAAAAAUAAAAAAGCAGUUACUGAUGGGAAAAGAUUGCUAACUGAUAAGAUUAUUCGCCCGGUAAAGGUGUGGAAGAUCCAGGCUAACUGGGAGGCUGUAACCAGCUUUCAGGAGCCAGGCUCUCCUGUGCCUUUAGCACAAAUCACUGAGCAAAGAGGAAACAUCAGGUCAGUCCUCACAGGAAAGAGAGCAGUAAAGGAGUUAAUCAGAGCAAUGAACUCCCUGUGCCAUAACAUGUCUCCGACAGGGCAUUACUACACCUCACACUAUAAUGUCAUUUUCUGGAAACUAAGCUUUGGCUUCCAAAGUCAUUUGCAAUGAAGGAUCCCAAAGAUUAUUUACCUGAAUGGCAGAAGAGUGUUCUCUUUUAAUGGACUUUGAAUUUCUGCCAUGGUCUUUCACUGAAUAAUCCAUGAUUAGUUAUUUGUCCUCAUAAAUGCCACUGCCAUCUGGAUGCAAAAGGCUUUCUAUUUUGUGUGAGACAUCCAAGUCCAAACUGAAAUCAGUCUCAGAUGUCCCAGGUCUCAGCUUCAUUCCUUCUGUGGCUUGCUCUGGAAUGUGCAUGCGAAGAACGCCUUGGCAAUCUUCACCAAACAUGCUGCUUUUCAUCUCACAAACAGCUCCGCUUUCAUAAUUCAAUUAAGGAACUCAAAAAUUAGUGUACUGUGGGGAGCUGCUAUGAUACAUAAUUACGAUGCUUAGAUUUCUUUAGAAUAGCAGCCAGCUUUAAAGACCCCAUAUGAUUUCCUUUCAUUAUUACUUAGCUGUGGUCCCAUGUUAUUUCAGUGAGAAACAGCAGACCUCUAAAUAAAAGCCUGAAAAUACUUCAUUGUAUUGACAUUCUUAAGACACAAAAAGAGUUGAUCUAGAGCAGGAUUAGGAUCUGGGAUCUGGCUUCAGUGUAACUCCAUUAGGAUCAUUCUGGACUUGAUUAGAUUUAUCCUGAAAACAGAAUUCUGUUUUGAGGACUUCUUAAACCAGAAGUAAAGUUCUGGUAUACAGCUGUCAACAGAAAAUAUGUUGACCUCCUUUGUCCUCACCUGACACCAUUCCCUCCUUCCUGGACUUUAUUGAACAUUUUACUUCAUAGAGCUCCUUAUUUAUGAGAGACUAUCUGUGAGACUGCAUGGUUAAUGAAUCACAUGAGCUACGUAUGGGAAGGCAGGCUGCACGCACACACUCAUACUGACUCAAGUCCAAGAUGCAUUUCACAUCAACUGAUCAUAAUGAUUUUAUUCUUUUUCUAAAUUAAAAAUAGAAUCUAUUAAUAAACAGAACCACAACGGGUAAUAAAUUGACAGAUGGUUUUAUACUUGACUUUGGGGAAAAAUUAUCAUGAAAAUAGCAGAUGACAGUGGCAUUUCAAUGACUUAAAUGGAAGGGAGGACUCAUGGAAUUAGAUACAAUAGCUACAGGGAGCUGCCAAUAAAGGCAAGGUGUCCUCUGCCAAGAUCUCAUUGGCUCUGGGCAGCUCACAGGCUGAUAUAGUGGUCCAAUGUCACAACAUGUCAAGGUUGUUAUUUACAGACUGGUGACCAAACCAUGCUGUCAGCCACACUGGAGCACCUCUAAUGAAGACUGGAUUUAAUCCACUGAACCGGUGGAACCGACAGAAGAAUUUGGUUCCAUAUGCAUUUCAAAACCAUUUUUUUAGGUUUCUGUUUGAUUCUAAAAAACCUCAAACUCUCUUACAGAAGAACAUUUCAUUGGAAGGAAAAUAUAUCAGCAGUAAGGAAAAUGAAGAGUAAGAGGACCAGAAGGUGAAGCUUACCUUUUUCUUGAGCCAUCUCUUGCAGGCAGAAGUAGAUAACCCUGGCACCCAGACUGAAGCCAAUCAGUGUGACAGGCCGCUUGCCCUAAGAACGAAAGAAAGGAGGAAGAGCCAUAAAAUGCUGCAUUAGACCUGGAAAGAGACCAGCCACAGGAUUCCCGAGACCCUGACACAGAGAGCACUUAUGCUUGUGCUUGGUCUUUUAAGCAUGUGAGAGAUUCUAUCAAUUUCAAAGAGAUUGUCCCUGUAGUUUUACACAGUACAAUAUGCAGAGUAUCUGUUAUUUUGGAUUUUUGAUAGCUAGGAAAUCAAUUGAAAGAAUCCAGUGACAAGAUGUUACUCAAACAGAAAACAAACAGAUGCUCAUCGUUUUGAAACUUCCAACAGAGAGCCUAAUUCAUGGAGCAAAAAUUUUUCUGGAAAUGUUUCAAUAAACAGAAAAAGGAGCAGUGAAUUGAAAAUACUGGUCACUUCUAGAUUUGAGACUGAACAGCACUGUGUGCUGUUAUAAAAACAAUGUGUGGAAAGCUUUUAUUUUGAACAACCUAAUGAGAUUUUCCUAAAGAUCAAAGAGAGCUUAAUCUCAGCAGCAAUGGUCUUUGUAAGAACCAGGGAGCAGGUGUGUGAUGGGCUCCUUAGACAUCAUGCUAACUUGUGUAGGCUCUGCAGCACAUUGGAAUGUGUGUUUCCACAACAGUUAACACUUGAAAGGCAGUAACAAAUGCCCCCAGCACAACAAAGGGCUUGUAUGAAAUAAAGUUUAUUGCCUUUCCUGGGAUUGUAUUUUUACAAGAAAUCAAGUUUGUUUCUACUCUGCUGUUUCACACUGUUAUUGAUGUGCAGCUUUGUGGCCAUAGCUCUCACAGGGCUCCUCCAUAACAGAUUCCCAACCAGCAUGCCUGUGAGAAACACAUGGCCAGCAGAACACUGCCUCCCUCGUGCCAGAGAUAGCCCAGCAAACAGUGGCAGGCUUUGGGGUGCAGAAAUGAUUUUCACAAACCACCCCAGGGAGCCUUAAUGAUGUCCAUCACUUCUUUCAGGUACCAGCUCAUUCCACUUCCGUGUUUUGGGUGUUGUAUUUCACCUCUAGUUCAAGCUUGCAUCCCAUUUGGACAUGUUUUUUCUUACAAGUCUUUAAUACCCUGCUGCUCCCUUUUCCUUCCUUGCCCAUUUGUGAAUGACCUCUGGUUUUCUCACUCUCACUUUAAGUUCACAUCCUGCCUUUUGUUUUACAGGUUUCCAACAGGAGCAUGAAAUUUACUAAUAAUUGUGCCUUUGCACCUACAAAGUACUUGUUGGAAUCACCUGCAUAGCAACAUCUGUACAGAUCUGUGCUCAUGGCCACUUCUGUACCAGUGCUCCGCAGCUGCAGCAGUGCAGGGAAGCACAAAUGCAUUUAUCUUGAUGGGUCAGCGUGUGCUAUCCUUGUUUGUGUGCCUGAUAAAAAUGAAGGAAACUGCAAGCUACUGAGAUCUCUUCCCCAGUUUAAUUCCUCCCAAGAGAAGACAGAUGUCAAAAAGAAGAAAAAUCCAGCUCUUCUCUUUUUCUUUCUGUUUCAAAGGAUUCUGUUAGCUGCCUUUCAGCACUGAAUUUUCCUCCUUAACUUUGUCAGAGUACUGCAAAGGCAUUGUCACAAUUAUUCCAGACUGAAGCCUGAUGAAAGCUAGUGCAGUUGUAGUUUAGGAUCAAUAAAAGUAGAGAGAAGCUGGAUUCUUCAAUUAAAUUAUUUUAUAUGUGUCCUGGUAUCAUUUAGGCAAAAACAGGGCUCAUGCUGCAUGUAAUGCUAAACAGUAUUCUCUUACACUGUUCUGUGCCCCUUAAUUCACAGUGAGUACUUUUAACUCUCUGUAUUCUCUCCUCCUGCCCACCUAUCUUUCCUUCUGUUCUCAGAUUUUCACUCAGUGAGUUGGCCUGCCUGUUUUAUGGCAUGUUCAAUUCGCUUGUCAUUUAUGACCUGGAUCUCUCCUUCAUUUAGGGAAACUUUGGGUUAAAUGGAAUGAAUCUUAGCAGGAGUUCUUUGAUUAACCUGGGACUUCGUAAUUUUCCUCAAUUAACUAGAUACAUGCUGGUCACCUUCCUGCAUUUUUUUUUUCCCCCAUGUUAUUAUUCAUUUUCUUCCCCCAGGAAAGGUACCUAUAAUUUCCCCCCUUGGGCCAGAUCCUUUCCUGACAUUCUUCCUGGAUAAUCUCUAGUCAACUACCUGCUGUCGACUGAGCAGUAUAUGUGCUAGGUGCUUGCCUACUUCAGCAGACCGAUGGAGACACACUCCCCAGGGGUUGUCAAUGACAUUGGCAACAGUCAAGAGCGAAGUUGGCCAAGUCAAGGCCGUAACAAUACCUGCAACACAGAAAACAAACAGUGCAGCACAGUCACAAAUCUGGACUGCUCUUAGGAAACAUCAAAAGCAAGACAGUUCACUGAAGUUAAAAUCUAAACCUAGGGCCUUUUGUCAUUCUCAGUGCUUCUUACUCAAGAGCUGGCCUGAGAAAUGUUUUGCUAGACUAAAGAUAAGAAAGAAUCUGAUGUUCCGAUAUGGAGGCAAACAGACACUAUACAUGAAUGUAACCUGCAUGUUUGAAGGGUUUAUGUAAAGCACUAAAACACAGUGUAAUAAUAUAGAGAAAUAAACACAGACACAUGCGAAGAAAGGUGUUUCCAGCUGUAAUUUUAAAAGAACAAGUCAGUGACACAGAGGCAGAGCAAUCCAGGAAAGCAAGUCUGAAUUACAGGUGUGGCAGAGAAGGUUCUCAGGCCACUUUUGCAGGGUGAUACCAAUAUGCCUUCCCAGAAAUCCUCUCUGAUGAGGAACGCUCCUUUGAAUAAACACCAACAGUGAAACUGUACCAGCACAGAUCCAAUAUAAUAUACGUUUUUACCUGACAAAACAGUGAAUUUUAGGGCUUCCUGAGCCAUCAUGUUAACAAAACCAUUCACCAGCGUAUCCAAGGCACUGCCAAGCUCCAUCAGGUACUUGGAUUCCCAGGCCAGACAGUACUGCUCACUUGAAUGCAGCAUGCUGCUCCAUGGUGCUGUGAAGCUCCCUGAGAAAAGUUGCAGGUAUUGAAUUCAUGUUCAUGGAAAGCACAACAAUGGCUGACUCCAGGCAAGACAGCUCCAAAAAAAGUCAGAAAAGACCAUUACAGGGCACUGGAACAUUCUGUGAUAAUCAGGAAUUGUAUUUAAAAAUACUGUUAGAUUUAGACUCCAUAGUUCUAUUAUUUUACAAUAAAUUUUGUCUUUGUAAAUAAUCCCACAGCUUUAGCUGCUUUGGCAAAGUCUUCAGUACAGACAGAGAUAACUGCAUGCAGGCUGAGACUUCACAACCCACUCAGGUAGCUCAGAGCCUGCCAAGACAGAUGGACAUUAAUGUGAAUUACGUAGGUACUGAGGACAUUCCUCCUAUCCUUAGACAUCAGGCCAAGUCCUGCAGCUCUAUCUUCUCAUGCAGACCGAAGGAGUGCCUGUCCAGAGAAAGAUCAAGUGCUGAAUGGCUGCAUGGACUGAGUCCAGAGGCAUGGAAAAUACAUAAAAUCUUUUCAAAAUCUACCACAGAGCAUCUUCCAAGCACUUUAGUUAGGCAGGCAAGGAUUGCAUUAGUGGCUCUGCUGGAAAAUAAGGAAUCUGUAUUUGCAGAUCUAGAGUGCAAUUAUUUUUAUUCUGCCAUCUAACUUAGCCACUUUAGUUUAAUUUGUCCCCUUCAGAGGCUAAUCAAAAGCAGUGCCUGAAUGAAUAGAUAAUAUGCACUGUGCAAUGUCUAAUUUUUGGCUGCAAGACCAAUUUUUUAGCCAUACUCUGUCCUGUUCAUCUUAAUUAAUUAAAACCCUUUGACUUUGUUUGUUCUCUGAACAAAGCAGGGCAAGUUGAGGCAGCUGCUGACCAAAGUGGCAUGUGUAAGUCCCAUGCCAGAUCUCACCACAAUAUCCUGCUGUAUUUGUGGAUGUACAGAUAGGCAGAUAGUGGGAGAUCAAAAAUCACAACAUGUUUUGUAAUAAUCCUGUCCUCACUCACUCUACGUUAACAAGUCAUGCAAGUGUGCAAAUAGGAACAGCUGUAAGGAAGAGAAUGGACGACAGUUUUAGUUUUGCUUUUUUAAACCUUAUAACAGAUUGCUUGUUAUGGAAGAAGAAUGUGUGUCAUAUGUAACUCCCUUUUAAGGGCAAACAGACACCAAAAGGUUCCUGAAGGGAUGCACUCGUGUUUGUAACAGUGCCUGGGAGCCCUCCAACCCCAGAGAUUUGGAGCCCUGCUAAGCAAUGAGUAAAGCCAAAGCACAGUACUGCAAAGUGAAAAUAACCUUAUUCUGACAGUUAGCUGCAAACUAACAAGCAAGAGGACAGAGAAAACAUCAUAUCAUUCCACAUUAAUGAUAUCCAAUGUUAAUUACAAUGGUUCUGAAUAAACUGGCAGCUGCUGAGCCAGGUUGCUGAAUUCAGCAGACCGUUGACACAUUUUAUAUGACAAGCUAUACUAGAAACUAAAACAAUACAAACUUUUCAAGGCUGCUGCCUUUAAGUUCACUUCCUGAGUUCUGUGCUUAAUGGGAUUUGCUUCACACAACAUUCUUGCCAAUAAACCUCAUUAGCUGGCAGACGGAGAGAAAGAAAAUAACACUGUUUUCUGUUAAUUGCUGGAGGAUAAACAUAAGGUCUCAGAGGUAGGUGAGACAUACUGUUCUAGUGCUGGAAAUCAUCCACCCCAACCAGAUUCUUCCUAGAAAAACCAGACAGGAUUUACUAACAGAAAUGGUCUCACUAUCACUACCACCAGUCCUACCAUAACUACUACCAAUUUACUGAACUUUCUCUUUCCUCUGUUUUGAUUGGCACUGUAGAUUGGGUCACAAAGUCUUAUGUUAACAGCUGAUCUGUUUUAUUCAACAGCCUAUGUAAAUGUGUGGAAGGCAUGGUGCUAAUACAGCACAAACACUGCUAGGCUCCUCUCAAUUUCCUCAUCUUGUUCUUACCAUACUUGCCAGCGCACAACCAUCCAGUAAUUGCUAUGGUGAUGUGAAGCUGCCUUGCUUCUGUAAGUGGGAGGAAUUCAAACUCUUCUAUGGCUCCCACACGCUUCUUCAUCUUGUAUCCUACACACAAGGCAGAAACACGGAUCUCAGAAAUUGCACAAGGACAGACACUGUUAACAGCAGAAAUUCAUAAGAGAUGUCUUGGCUCAUGACUAGGGUUUUCUCUUUCCAAGACCCUCAGCAAAUCUAUGUAUUACUUAGUAUGGAGCCAACAUGAUCCCUCUGAGCUCUCAUGAUCUGUGGGUAUCUCAGCAGAAGAUAAACCCUGCAUCAGCUGUAACAGCCACUGCUCUCUGUUGCUGCACCUUUCUAAUCCAAAGCAGGAGGUUUUCAUUUCUUCUACUUAGCCAUGUAUCAAACACUAUUUUCCUAGUUAGUCAUCAAGCAUGUCUUGAAACAAAAGUCAGCUCAGAGUUGUGAGAUCACACCUCGUAUCACUUUCCUUGCUCUGCAGAGCUUGGUCAUGCUCUACGUUUUGGAACACAAUCCUGUGCAUCAGUACCUGUGAAAUGUGCAGUCACUUCUCUUACCAGUAAGGCCAGCUCCAGCAGCUCCAAAGAGGGAUGCCAUGACAGCAAUUCCUGCAGUUGAACCAAGAGCAGCUGCUCCCGCACUUCCAAUGAUAGUGGCAGCCCCAGCAGCAACCAGAGGGGCAGCAAGACCUCCUGUCAAGCCUGAGAAGGCAACAAGUGAGUUCACCAGUCUCUUACCAAGUGCAAAAAACAGUCAUUUCCCUGUGCUGGGUGAGUACUACUAAUUCUAUUGAAAAAGUGGCCUGUUUUGCAUCACUGGUAAAGGAGCUUUCUGAGAUCACCCCCAGGCCCUGAAUCUCUGCAUGCAUUCUUUGACUGACUUCAGUAAAAAUAAAGAAUAACUUAAGUCAAGGAAGAAUGUGUGAUAGAUUGUGCCCCAGACAAACAUCAUCCAAAUUCUUCAGUCUCACUCCAGUAUCUUUAAACUGACUUUCCAGCAUGCACUGAGAACUGCUCCAACAAACACAAUGGAUUUUCACUUCUACAACUAAUUAUUUCAGUUUUAUUUUUGCAUGGCAGAACCUGAAGUGACAUACUACCUUUAGCCUGGCAAAAAAAAGAAGGAAAAAACAAAAACAGUGAACACUUCAAAAUCACAGCCUGGCUUCUGCUGCUGAAUGUGCAAGUCAGAACCCCACUUUCUCCCUCUCACACUGUACAUGCAAUUCAGGAGCAAGCUUCUGACAGCCCAAGGCAGCCUCACCGAUCACUGUUCCACCCCCAACAGUUGCCAAGCCAAUCAGCAGGUAUUUCCACAGCUGCAACUUGGGCCUCUAAGGAAAGAAGAAGAGUGAAAUCAAUGACUUUUGUCACACCAGGUACACAUGGUGUACCCCUAGGCUAGCUACAGCAGCACAAUUCUGCAGUCACUCCUGCCUCUAUCAGACAUCUCUUGGAGCUGCACUACAGCCCACCUUCAGGAGCCACAGAUCAGAGGGAAGAGAAUUAUGUAUCAAGGCACCACCUGUGCUUUCAAGCAGAGAUUCCUCCAGUGCUUCCAGCUCCUCCAAGGGGAUUCUCAGCAGCCAGCAGAUGUGGCAGAUCAACACCCUUACUCGUGCAUCGUAGUACCCUUAAACAGAAGAAAGACCAGAAAAUCCAUCAGUCUUCAUCACACCAGAUUAAAUAGCAAGUGGAGAAACCCAGCUGCGCUAGAGGACCAUGUUGCACAAAAGCAUAUUCCUUCCCUCAGGCCCUCUUCAUCUUUCAUGUGUUUGAAGACAAAUGUUAUUGUCUAAAGAAGAGAGCUCUAAAUGGAAAACCCUCCCCACUGCAAACCUCAUCCUGUCAGCAGAGCCACUACACCAGGCAACGAGUGAUCUGUGGAGGAUUUUGGGGUUGAAAUUUUCAUAACAGCUCCAUGGCUUUCCAGAAGGAAGAAGAGGUCACCUGCACUCCUGGAAACACUGGAGGAGAAAAACAUUCCAGUCUAGGUAUUUAACUUCAGAACUUUUCAAUCAUUACAUACAAUUGCAUGCCAGUACAUGAUACAUGAAGCUACAGAGGUGAUCAGUUGUGCAUUUUUUAACAGGUAGUAUUAGUUGUCUUUUCUGUAGUGGACAUAGGGAAAGAGCGUGCUGCUUUUGCUAGAAAGGAAACUAGGAUAAAAUCGAUAGGCACCCUGAGCUUUUUGAGCAUUUUAAAGUAUCAGAGAUGAACUCACUGAUGUUACCCUUACAAAGAACAAACACUAACUUAAACUUACCAUCUCUAAGAGAGAAGGACAAAAGAUCCUAAAAAGAAAAAAAAGAAUAUUGAAGUUAAGAGUGAUGAUGUACACCUAGAGAUCUUAAAAUGGAAGUAUGAAAUCCCAUCAGACCACGUUUUAAUGGCUGCAGUGUGCCCGUUCUUACAUGUGGGAAGGCAGGAAGUUGCAAAUCAACACAGCAAAGCCAGAUGCUUCCAGUGCACAGCUGUGCACAUGCAGGUAGGAAUGGCUGGACAGAAGCAGAUUAGCACAGGAUAGGAGAGUAGUGCCUGCUUGGUAUGUGCUGAAGCAGCCGAUUGUUGGGUUGUUCUUCUUGUUAUUAGCAAUCCUGUUGCAAUUGAACGCCCUGUGAUUACAAAGGACUUCAAAGUCUGGAGAAAUCAGGCUAUAAGUUCCCAGCUGCACUGAUGCCUUCUGCUCUUCUAGUCACACCUACUUGUAUUUUCAGCUCAAAUGGGUUUGAAUGAUACUUAGAUGGAC